CGGCGCCUCCUCUCUCUGGAACGACAUUAGUGGACGAAGCAUCCUCAACGGCGGUGGGGAAUCAAAUUCUCACUUUGGAAUGACGGUGCCGGACUAACGCAUCCUCGACGGCGAGGAAUCAGAGCACGUCAUCAAGAGAUGAAGGACAAAGGCACGUUGGCUCGCAAGGAAGGUGGGCUAGGUUUUUUUGUAGAGCAAGCACAUCUAGGGACCUCCUUUGCUUGAUGUUGCUUUGUUAAUAGGACAUCUCACACCUGUGCUGAUGGACAAAGUAAUACUGAUAUAUAACCAUGCUUAUGCCUACUAUUUAUGUCCUCUGCUUUGUCUUGAUUCUUUUAUACAAUUGGUUAAUAUGUGUAUGACACACACACUCAUUAGGUGCUAAUCUUCUCACGUUAAUUAUUUCUAGAUACUGGAUUUUGUGUGUUGGAAAAACUGAACUUUGAUGAAGUGGUUGAUUCUGUU